rnacentral:lncRNA from 1 species
GAAAAUUUCAUGCUCAAACUAAUUUGGAUGUAAUACGAAAAACGAGUUAUUUCCCCUUUUUGAAAAUCUUCGUCCGUCGUCGUUAACUUUUACAAAAAUCUUCUCCUCUGAAACUACUUGGCCAAACUAAACCAAACUUGGCAACAAUCAUUACUGGGGUAUCUAGUUUAAAAAUGUGUCCGAUAACCCGGCCAACCAACCAAGAUGGCCGCCAUGGCGAAAAAUAGAACAAAGGGG